AGAGUUUGAUCCUGGCUCAGAGUGAACGCUGGCGGCAUGGAUUAGGCAUGCAAGUGGGACGCCCCGCAAGGGGAGUCGCGAAAGGGUGAGUAACACGUGAACAAUCUGCCCCGAAGUUGGGAACAACCUUUGGAAACGAAGGCUAAUACCUGAUGUGGAUGCGGCCGGGAUUCCGGCAGUAUAGAAAGGCGCAAGUCGCUUCGGGAUGAGUUCGCGGCCCAUGAGCUUGUUGGUGAGGUAACGGCUCACCAAGGCAGUGACGGGUAGGUGGUCUGAGAGGAUGGUCACCCACACUGGUACUGAGACACUGACCAGACUCCUGCGGGAGGCUGCAGUCGAGAAUCUUCCGCAAUGCGCGAAAGCGUGACGGAGCAAUGCCGCGUGAAGGAUGACGGUCUUCGGAUUGUAAACUUCUGUCGGGGGGGACGAACAAUGACGGUACCCCCAAAGGAAGCCACGGCUAACUACGUGCCAGCAGCCGCGGUAAUACGUAGGUGGCGAGCGUUACUCGGAGUUACUGGGCGUAAAGGGUCCGUAGGUGGCCGUCUAAGUCUGAGGUGAAAGCCUGCAGCUCAACUGCAGAACUGCCUUGGAAACUGGAUGGCUAGAGUGCAGGAGAGGUAAGUGGAAUUUGUGGUGUAGCGGUGGAAUGCGUGGAUAUCACAAGGAACACCAGAGGCGAAAGCGGCUUACUGGACUGCAACUGACACUGAGGGACGAAAGCCAGGGGAGCAAAAAGGAUUAGAUACCCUUUGUAGUCCUGGCUAUAAACGUUGUGCGCUCGUCGUCGGGGUGGUUAGUCGCCCCGGUGACACAGCUAACGCGAUAAGCGCACCGCCUGGGAAGUACGGUCGCAAGACUAAAACUCAAAGGAAUUGACGGGGGCCCGCACAAGCGGUGGAGCAUGUGGCUUAAUUCGAGGCCACGCGAAGAACCUUACCUGGGUUUGACAUGGAGACUGAUACUGAUGAAAGUUGGUAGCCCGCAAGGGAGUCUUCACAGGUGCUGCAUGGCUGUCGUCAGCUCGUGCUGUGAAGUGUUCGGUUAAGUCCGGCAACGAGCGCAACCCGUAGAUCUAAUUGCCAACAGGUAAUGCUGGGAACCUUAGAUCGACUGCCGGUGUCAAGCCGGAGGAAGGUGCGGAUGACGUCAAGUCAGCAUGGCCCUUACACCCAGGGCUGCACACGUGCUACAAUGGCAGGUACAAUGGGAAGCUACCUCGCGAGAGGAUGCGGAUCUCCAAAAACCUGCCCCAGUUCAGAUCGUAGUCUGCAACUCGACUACGUGAAGCCGGAAUCGCUAGUAAAGGGACAUCAGCUACGGUCCCUUGAAUACGUUCCCGGGCCUUGUACACACCGCCCGUCACAUCAUGGGAGCUGGGUUCACCCGAAGGCGCUGCACCAACCGCAAGGAGGUAGGCGACCAAGGUGGGCCUGGUGACUGGGAUCAAGUCGGAACAAGGUA
rnacentral:rRNA from 1 species